GAGAGAGAGAGAGAGAGAGAGAGAGAGAGGGGGAGAGAAGUUUCCUGCGCUCACAGUAGCCGGCUGCCUUCCUUCCACCAUGGCACGGUGCCAUGCAUGUGCGCCCUGCGUACAUAUCUCCUCGCAAAGGGACCUGUGAACCCAACGUGCGAGUCGCCAUGGCCGAUUUCGGGCAGAGCAAGCGCGUCGGUCCACCGGUUGCUGCCUCAGCUUCUGUCGCUGCUGCAGAAGCAGCAGCAGCAGCAGCAGGUGGAACCGCAGGGAGCCCCGCAGUGCCUCGAAUAGAGGAGCCGAUGUCUAAUGGCAGUUGCAAUCCAAAAGACCCAGCGAGGAGGCUCGACAGGGGGUCCAGCUGUCAGUCGCCAACGUGGGAGGGCUUGGAUUCGGCUACUAAAUCGAUACCUCGACGCAGCAGUCUCAUUAAGGAUGGCUCCCGGGCGGGUCGAGAGAGGAAGAAGACAGUGUCCUUUAGCAGCAGCCUAUCAGAGAAGAAGAUCAGUAGUGCGGCCGACUGUAUCCACUCAAUGGUGGAGGGGAGCGAAUUGAAGAAGGUGCGUCCCAACUCUCGCGUGUACCAACGCUACUACCUUCUUGACACGGGACUGCAGGCUCUCUGUUGGGAGCCCUCCAAGAAGGAUUCGGACAAAGCCAGGAUUGCGCUCGCCUCCAUCCGAGAGGUGCGGACAGGUCGUAACACGGAGGUAUUCCGCACGAGUGGAGUCUACGAGCAGAUUUCGGAGGACUGCGCUUUCUCUAUCAUCUAUGGAGAGCUAUAUGAGAGCCUGGACCUUGUGGCCCACUCAACAGAAGUGGCUAAUAUUUGGGUGACGGGCCUAAGGUAUCUGGUCCAGUAUGGUAAAAAUGCCCUGGACAUGCUUGCCAGCAAACAGCACAGCCUUCGUCUUGGCUGGUUGGAGCAGCUUUUCGCCUCUGCUGCUGAUUUGGAUAGUCCCAAGGACAUUGAGCAAGGGAUUUGUUUGCAGUCCGCUGUCAAACUGAUACAGACGGUGAAUCCAGGGGUGAGCAGCGGAAAAGUGGAGCACAGGUUUAAAGAGCUUCAGAGGGGUCGGAUCGAGUCUCUUUCUCCUAAUAAUGGAUCAGGAGCUAAAGACCUCGCCAUAGUCAAACCAACACUUGGGGCAAGAAACGAGAGGGUCACGCAGCGGGAGUUCAUCGAGGUCUUUCACGACUUCUGCACACGUCCAGAGAUUUACUUUCUCUUGGUGCAGUUCUCCAGCAACAAGGAAUUCCUGGACGUCCAAGACCUGACGAGGUUCCUCGAGGCUGAGCAAGGUGUUGCCCAGGUGACAGAGGAAGACAGCCUGAGUCUCAUCCAGUCCCACGAGCCAUCAGAAGAGGGCCGGCAGCAGGGCUACCUGUCGAUGGACGGCUUCAAUAGCUACUUGAUGUCGCCAGAGUGCCAACUCUUCGAUAGGGAGCACGACACUGUGUGUCAGGACAUGUCCCAGCCUUUGUCGCACUAUUUUAUCAACUCCUCUCACAACACCUACCUCAUCGAGGAUCAAUAUAAAGGGCCCUCUGACAUUUCCGGCUACAUCCGGGCGCUCAAGAUGGGCUGCCGAUGUGUGGAGGUGGACAUAUGGGACGGUCCCGAUGAGGAGCCGGUCGUGUGUACCGGACAUACACUUUGCCCUCCUCUCGCCCUGCGCAACGUGUUGGAAGCAAUUGCACGGUUUGCUUUUGUUGCAUCAGAGUAUCCGUUGAUUGUGUGUAUCGAGAACCACUGCUCUCUGAGACAGCAGAAAGUGAUGAUGCAGCAUCUGGUGCGAAUACUCGGCGAUCAGGUGUCGACGCAACCCCCGGACGAGAGGGAGUCGUACCUACCCUCGCCGCAAGACUUGAGGCAUCGGAUCCUGCUGAAGGGGAAGAAGCUCGAGCCUGGUUGGGAAGCGGAGGAGGGUGAAGUCAGUGAGGAGGAUGAAGGGGCUGAAAUGUGUCCAAGGAUGAAGGCGGUGAGCAAUGGUGGGGCAGGACUUGAAGACAGUCCCAAAGAAAAACAGCAGAGAAGCUUAAAUUCAACAGCUGCCAGCCACUGCAAUCCACCUCAUCUUCCUCACCAAAAAUUCCAUUUGCUGAAGGAGCUCUCGGACCUGGUCACUCUUUGCGAGUCGGUCCACUUUGUCGACUUCCCAACGUCAAGAAAAAGCCAAAAACCUUGGCAGUUGUGCUCUUUUAAUGAGACCCAGGCCGGGCGUCUCGCUGGCGAGACCCCAGGCGACUUUGUCAACCAAAACAAACGCUUCCUGUCACGGGUGUACCCGAGCCCCAUGCGCAUUGAUUCCAGCAACGUAAACCCUCAGGACCUGUGGAAAUGCGGUUGCCAGAUUGUUUCUAUGAACUUCCAGACAGCCGGGCUGAUGAUGGACCUCAACGCAGCCUGGUUCCGGCAGAAUGGAAAUUGCGGUUACGUUCUGCGGCCCGCCAUCAUGCGGCGGGAGGUGUCUUACUUCAGUGCGGACACCAGAGACACUGUGCCUGGGGUGUUACCUCAGCUGCUCCAUGUCAAGGUAAUCAGCGGACAGAAUCUUCCCAAGCCGAGGGGUUCUGUGGCCAAAGGGGACGUGGUGGACCCUUACGUUUACGUGGAGAUCCACGGCAUUCCAGCCGACUGCACAGAGCGCCGCACCAGGACCGUCUCCCAGAACUGCGACAACCCAGUUUUCGAUGAGAGCUUCGAGUUCCAGAUCAACCUGCCGGAGCUCGCCAUGGUUCGCUUUGUCGUCCUGGAUGAUGACUUCAUCGGAGAUGAGUUCAUAGGUCAGUACACCAUCCCGCUGGAGUGUCUCCAACCCGGAUACCGUCACGUCCCGCUUCAGUCUCUGACUGGGGAGGAUCUUCCCCACGCCAAGCUUUUCGUCCAUGUGGCCCUCACCAAUCGUAGAGGAGGGGGCAAGCCUCACAAAAGGGGCCUGUCUGUGCGAAAAGCUCGCAGGAGACGGGACUACACGGCUCUACGGGACUUGGAAAUCCGGGUCGUUGACGAGGUUUUCAAAAUGGCUGGUCCUCUGUUGAGAGAAGCCACGGACUUGAGGGAAAACAUGCAGAAUUCUGUGGCGAUGUUUAGGGAGUUGUGCGGGGUGUCGGCUGUGUCCAACCUCAUGCAAUGCAUACUCGCUCUUGGCUCCAGAGUGAGAGGACCCGAUGGGAUUCCUUUACUACUGUUUGACCUCCAGAAGCACUACCCCACCUUGGAGCCUCAGGGUGCCCUGCCUGAUGUCCUUCGCCGUGUUGUCUCCACAUACGACAUGGGUUUCAAAUUCCGAAUCCAGUCUUGGUCCACCUUGCUUAUCUGGGUUUCCCUUUGGGUACUUUGGCUUUCCCUCACGUUCCAAGAUAAGCUCCACCUCACCUGUGACUGAUGAGCACAAGCACCAACGAAAAUGGAUGAAUGGCUCCUCAUUUUGCUUUUUCACCCUGCAACCUACACAGUUCCUGCCCUUUCCUCCUUUUUCCCCGCGGGCCUGCUUCAACUGUGGCUGACCCGUGUAAAGGGGACUCCACGCAGAUGUGCACUUGCUCUCAGCCAUUCUGCUGAAUAUUAGACCGACCCGUGGGUCUAAUGCGGCUGGAACUCCGGAUGUACAAAGUACACAUAUCUUGUCUCAUUAAAUUCUCAAGAAGGCUUUGGUGCGCCGACCUAAUUGAAUGACAAUUGUUUGUCACUGCCGUUUGAAUCGUAACGGACGUGUGUGUUACGGCAAGCGAGUGUACGCAUAUUGGGAGCCACUUUCACUUGGAGUCAAGCCCACCCCUGGAAUUGAAAAAAAGAUCAUGGCGGUGCUGAAUCUCAUCAGCAUAGAUUUGAAUACGGUUUGAUGAAAUAGAUCUUCACACCUCCAUCCUCAACUGGAUGUAUUGUGUGUGUGUUGAUCAUUAGUUUGUUUAACAGCGGGGAUCACAUCCCUUCAGGCUUCACACAUCAAUGCCUAGCAUUAAUCAGCCACAGGCAAGUAAUGUCAUUACCGUGCACCGCGUGUGUGGUCAUUACUCUAACUGAGUGGUUCUAUUGGUCUCCUAGGAUUUCUCCUGCUGGGGGGAGGAGGGGGGGGGGGGCAUUUUACGCUAUACUUCGCGCCACAAAUGAGGGUAAUACUAAUAAUAGUAAUCAUUCAUGAUUCAGGAUUCAUCUUCAAACCUUUGUCAUGUAUUUCGAAACAAAUGUUUGCUUUCAUUUUCCAGGAUUUUUUAAGAGUGUGUUCCAAUACUCCCCCCUGGCCCCCGGUAUUGUCUAUUUUCUCCCAGCGCAGUUUUGUUGACUUCAGCAUUCUGACUCCACACUUGUCAGCGGCACAGGGCCAUUACACAGCAUAUCAUGAGUUUAAGGGUAAAAGAAAAGACCUCUUGUGAGAUAUAUUUGUUAUCCGUCAAUGAGUUUCACGUGCGUGCUGGUUUGAAUAGAGAAAGUUUUGACAGAGAUGAAUGUCCAGCUUGUAAAUCAGCAAAAAUCUCCCAAGCGACUUAUCCACCGCCCCCGCCCCCGACUCUCCUAGGGUUCACUUUCAUAAUCAUGUGACAUUCAUUUGUUUACAUCAUCUGAGCUUCCGCGUGCGUAUACUGCAUGAUUGCUCGUGUGCAUUUUGCAACGUUUGACCCGACGGUAAUAUUUAAAGACACGAUAGGUUGUGUAUGAGCAUGUCUGCUGUGUGAGAAGCCCGAGGUCGGAAAGUACAUGCCGUUAAAGAUGCCAAUCAAGGAAAUCCCAUGGCGACGGUCACUCGGAGCGAAGUCACGGGAUGUCUGCGAGCUGCAAGGGAGUAGAGAUAAAACUGAUGAAGCUCACAGAAGGGAGUAGAAAAAAAGUGGAUCUGAUCUGUGAUAAGUAAACAGUUGUUUAUAGUUAAAUGAU